rnacentral:lncRNA from 1 species
AUGAGUGGGGACGGGGACAGGGACGAUACCCCCCAGUCCCCCCGGUCCCUGCCCGCCUUUCCCCAGCUCCUUCCUGCCGUGCAUCUGGAAGCGGUUUGCAUCGCUCCUCUCCAGCCGCUCCGGGCUCUGCUCCCUGCUCCCAGCUGCGCUAAAACGUUGCAGACCCGCUGUCGAAACCCCUUGCCCGCUGGUGCGGGGCUGGGCCGGCCCUCCCGCCGCGCUGUCCCCCCCGGCCGCCGCGCUCCGCUCGCCGAGUCCCUCCUCGCCUGCCCCCUGCUCCCAGCUGCAAUUUCCCGCCUGGAAAAGGCCCAGCGUGGGGACAACCGCGGCCGUCGCCUUCCUUCCGUCCCGCCRAAGCGCCGCGGGCUGCCAUCCCCGUGCUCCCUCCGCACCCCCGCGCCCGCGAUGCCUCCGGCCAGCGCAGACCCGGGAGCCCGGCACCCCGGGCAGGGCCGACCCGGGAGCRCACACGCGCUGGCCCUGCCCGGGGGAGCGAAAACAUCUGGCAGGGCAGCGAGGCUGAGCAACGCCGGAGCUGGGCCCAAACAUCUGGAUUUCCCUGGAAACCGGGGAGGAAGGGGGGGACUAACUCCCGGCGCUCCCCGGGAUGCCGGUGGGGGAGGCUGGGGACGGGGGCCGGCAGCAGAGCAGCCCUGGGCAGAGUGCGAGGGCGGAGGGGCCGGGGGGGGCCCGGGAAAGGCCCCCGCUGCCCGUGCCCGGUGUGCCUGGCUCUUCCCUCCCCUCCCUUUCUCCUCUCCUCCGCCCAGGCCAAAUUCCUCGGCAAUGACAUCUCCGUCCAUCCGCUCCCCCCAGCCCUCUCUCCGCAUCUCGCGCUCCCCUGACCUUCCCCAGCCCCCCCGGUGCCCGCGGCCCCCCCGGCCCGCCCGCACCGGAGCCCGCGGCUGCAGCGCCCCGGUUGUGCAGAGCGGCACCCGCGCCAGCGCGGCGGGGUCCGCAGCUCGCCCUGACACCCCGCCAGCCGCCGGGGCCAAGGAAACGCAGCCGAGAUUAAAAACAGCUGCCUCGGUCUCCAUGGCGAGAGGGAGCCGGGGAGGAAAACGCCCCCCAAACGCACUCGCGCGGCUCCGAGCAAAGCGCCCCGGUCCCGCAGGCCGCGGCCCCGCCGGA